GCUUAUCACCAUUCCAGAUUGAAUAUACCCGAUCUCGUCUGAUCUCGGAAGUCAAGCAAUCUCGGGCUUGGUCAGUGCUUGGAUGGGUGACCGCUUGGGAAUACCAAGUGUGAUAAGCA
rfam:Ciona savignyi cont_51453, whole genome shotgun sequence.